AUUGAACGCUGGCGGCAUGCCUUACACAUGCAAGUCGAACGGCAGCGGACCUUCGGGUGCCGGCGAGUGGCGAACGGGUGAGUAAUAUAUCGGAACGUACCUUUCAGUGGGGGAUAACGUAGCGAAAGUUACGCUAAUACCGCAUAUUCUGUGAGCAGGAAAGCAGGGGGAUCGCAAGACCUUGCGCUGAUUGAGCGGCCGAUAUCAGAUUAGCUAGUUGGUGAGGUAAAGGCUCACCAAGGCGACGAUCUGUAGCGGGGUCUGAGAGGAUGAUCCGCCACACUGGAACUGAGACACGGUCCAGACUCCUACGGGAGGCAGCAGUGGGGAAUUUUGGACAAUGGGCGCAAGCCUGAUCCAGCCAUGCCACGUGAGUGAAGAAGGCCU
rnacentral:rRNA from 1 species